AAUGAACGCUGGCGGCAGGCCUAACACAUGCAAGUCGAACGGGUCCUUCGGGACUAGUGGCGGACGGGUGAGUAACGCGUGGGAACAUGCCCUUUGGUACGGAAUAGCCUCGGGAAACUGGGAGUAAUACCGUAUGUGGUCGAGAGACGAAAGAUUUAUCGCCAAAGGAUUGGCCCGCGUUGGAUUAGGUAGUUGGUGGGGUAAUGGCCUACCAAGCCGACGAUCCAUAGCUGGUUUGAGAGGAUGAUCAGCCACACUGGGACUGAGACACGGCCCAGACUCCUACGGGAGGCAGCAGUGGGGAAUCUUAGACAAUGGGGGAAACCCUGAUCUAGCCAUGCCGCGUGAUCGAUGAAGGCCUUAGGGUUGUAAAGAUCUUUCAGGUGGGAAGAUAAUGACUGUACCACCAGAAGAAGCCCCGGCUAACUCCGUGCCAGCCGCCGCGGUAACAC
rnacentral:rRNA from 1 species